AUUACCUUAAGGUAUUCAUUUAUCUUCCCCGCCCCGGCCAAAGAUGUUGCCCGGAGAGGUUGUGCAGUCUUCAUCCUUGGAGGUUUUCAAGACCCACCAGCACACAGCCCUGAGUAGCCCGGUCUGGUCCCAGAGCUGGCCCUGCUUUGGGCAGGAGGUUGGGCUGGAGCCCUCCCGGGGGCCUUUCCUGCCUGCGUGACUCCGUGGUUGAGCUUUACCGGACAGCGCUUGUGGGAAUACGCAUCCUUUCUCCUUCCUGAAUUAUUAAAAUGCAUCUUUCAAGUUCAAUGACACUUCAGAACUGUGACAUAAAUUAUGGAACAAGGGCAGAAGAGACUUCCUUUGCCUUAGCUGUAAGGGCCUGGUCCGGCAGAGAGCACCUUCCUCUGACCCCUUUGGAUGUGGCUGCUGUUAGAGGCUCUCUUACAGGCCCCUGGAGCGGUGGAGGUGGAAGAGGAACGUGAUACACCCACGGGGGCUUGGCACACUUCUGUUUUGACUAGAGGCAGACUACUCCUGCUCCAGCUUAGGCGAUGGGAGACACUGUCCCAGAAUAACAUUUCCCGCCAAAGAAAAGGCCACUUGUUUAUUGACUAG
rnacentral:lncRNA from 1 species